rnacentral:misc_RNA from 1 species
GCAAACUUGGUCAUUUAGAGGAAGUAAAAGUCGUAACAAGGUUUCCGUAGGUGAACCUGCGGAAGGAUCAUUAUUGAAUGUACAUGACUGGUUGUUUGCUGGCUCUUCUGAGCAUGUGCACACCUUUCUUGAUUUCAUCCAUCCACCUGUGCACUCUUUGUAGUCUUUAUUGGAGGGAGGGUUAGAAAUUGGUUGUCAGUUGAAUGACUGGAUUUUGAGGUUUGCUUGAUGCAAGUGUGGUAUCAGCUUUCCUCUUUGCCACAUAUAUACUCCCUUCAAGAUUGGCUAUGUCUUUCAAUCAUAAACUUGUAGUCUGUUAUCAGAAUGUAUUUGAUGGGUUUCUAAACCUAUAAAAUGUUAUACAACUUUCAGCAACGGAUCUCUUGGCUCUCGCAUCGAUGAAGAACGCAGC